rnacentral:lncRNA from 1 species
GAAGGUCUUCCUCUCAGAUCUCUUUUGGCUGUAGUGCUUCAAAAGCCUUCGAAAAACCAACUCCAUCUGGAUUAUCCUUCGGUUUCCACUAAUGUUUCUGUUUUUGCGAAUUAAGUGGCUUCUUUCCAUUAUCAUCCGGAUGUGAGUUGUUGUCUGCUUUCCUCGGAUGUAACCACCAACAAGAAUUUACAUUAUUUCCAAUACUCUUGCAGUGUGUGAAUCUUCAAUUUCUAUCCCAAAACUCUUCUCUGCAGCGUGUUGUGUAAUGUGUAUUGAGUCAAGUAUGAUGUUGAUUUGAAAUGCUCUAUAUAUAGCCCUCUAGAACUCAAUUUUACACCGACCCCAAAAUUACUUCAUAGUAAGGUUUCCUUCACCGUCUUCCUCUUUGUUUCUUGCGCUAGCUUCUGUUCAUUUCUCAUGAUUGUGUGCAGAGCCACUUGUUUUUGUUUUUGGAAGAUACAAAAUCUAUAGCUUUCUCCUUCAAGUAAAUCACCGCCUCUGCCCUUCUAUUCUCUCAUUUUCUUUCUUUUCAUUUUGUCACCUAUAUCAUUCAAUGUGGAGUCUUAGCUUUUCCUUGUUUAAUU